GCCGAGGAGCGUUGCAACGGGCGCCCGCCCGCCAGGCUCGGCUUUAAUGGCGUCUGCCCUUGAUCAACGGCGCUCAGU
rnacentral:ncRNA from 1 species